GGCUUAUCAGAAGGAUACGUCCAUUAGAGUAGAAUGAAACCAAUCCUGGUGGUUGUGUGCUUCGAAGCAGAUUGCACAAAUCCACAUGUAGGUAUUUUGCCAGGAGAAUCUUCUCUUCUGUUGGUCUAUAAAUUGAAUAAGUUUCCUUCUGGGUUCUCUGUGGAUUUGUGUGAGUUUUGCAUGAUGUUUGUUUGUUUAAUACUAUACCAUGGAGAAUAAGCUCAAGUCUGGCUGCUGAGAUGUGGGCUAAAUGGAGAUGAACUAUGCAAAGCAGCUGUAGAAGAUGUGGUGCUGGUAAAGGAUUAUUGAUUCCUCGAACUUGGAUGCAUAUUAUAUUGACCGUUAAUAGGAGUAGUAUAGCAGGCAGUAUUUGAGAGUGAGCAAUAUUAUUAGUUUUCGCCAUUUAACGGUUGACUGUUGUAUUCAAUCGGUGAUUCUACCAACACAAUAUAGUAUGAUAUAAUUUCUCCUGCAAGUGGGCUGUUAAGAAAUACUUCAUCGAUUCACAAGAUAAGAUCGCAGGUUAAUCUGGUGAUAGCACUAACCAGAAAUAUGGGCAACAAUAUGUGACACCAAAAUCCUGACAUAAAUCAAACACUCACUCUACCAUUACACUUGGAUCCUCAUUUGAGGGGCAACCAUAAAUUGAACACAGCGAUUAUCCCUUUGCAGUGUAACAAAUAUCCCCUACGUAAUGUGAACUCGACCCCCUUUGCAGCAUCAGCACAACCUGAAAUAAUAAAAGUAAGCAGCACACGUCGUCGAGUUUGCAUAUUUUGGUAGCGCAAGAGAAAGAGAGAUGAUACUGCGAGAAUGAUUGGACCGAUUUAGUGCUGUCGGCCUCGCCCAAAACCAAGCGUACCCCUUCAUCACUGUUGGGUUGGAAACCCGGUUCCACGCGGUGAUAGAUGCCGGAUUAGUGGUUGGUGUCGUUGUAGCCCUGGUCCAGUGAUUCCCGUUUUUAUGUAUUUGUCGAAUUCUGUUUGAAAGUGUACACUUUUUAAUAAAAUACACCAAAUAUGCGCAUUAUCCUAGCUCUUGGACUCUCUGGCUGUCGAUCUUCUCGAUAUCAAUAAUUCUCCAUCUAUCGAGGAAUUCUUCAGUCCCUUCAGUCUGCAUACUUCAAUUAUCUUCAUUCCUCGAUAUUUCCCUUGCUUGAAGGAUCUCUUCCUCGACGGUCCCUUGGAUUCUGUUUGCUUUAAAAAUCUCUUCCGGUUGUCAAUAAUUUCACUUUCUCAUGGCUUGCAUAGACAUUUUUCUUGGCGAAUCGAAGCUUUGAAGGGUGUUUGACAUUAGUUUGUUUUUGUUUGAUGGACGUUGCCAUUAUUACACACAUAUUUUCAAUCGAGUCUUCAUUUUGCAUCGUUCUGUAAACUGAUGAUUCUCUUCCUCGACGGUCCCUUGGAUAUUGACAACCAGAGAGUCGACUGUAGUAAAUCGGUACAGUGAGAUAACGAACUGGUGAGAGCCUUUUACUCUGAGGUUCAUUUCAAACAAAGUUUACCCGUGCAAAAAUAGCAAACAAAUUGACUACAGAUCUUGGGACCGUGGUGUAGGGGUUAGCGUGAUUGCCACUCACCCAGUCGGCCUGGGUUCGAUCCCAGACGGUCCCGGUGGCAUUUUUCGAGACGAGAUUUGUCUGAUCACGCCUUCCGUCGGACGAGAAGUAAAUGUUGGCCCCGGACUAACCUAAAAAGGUUAGGUCGUUAGCUCAAUCCAGGUGUAGGAGUCGUCUCCCUGGGUCCUGCUUAGGUGGUGUCAAUGGUAGGCAGU